UUUUGCUGCUGUUAUCUUGACUCAGGGAGGCAUUUUACAAAGUCUACAGACUACCACUACAACAACGUCA